UACGAAGGGGGCUAGCGUUGCUCGGAAUCACUGGGCGUAAAGCGCACGUAGGCGGCUUUCUAAGUCAGGGGUGAAAUCCUGGAGCUCAACUCCAGAACUGCCUUUGAUACUGGAGAGCUUGAGUCCGGGAGAGGUGAGUGGAAUUCCGAGUGUAGAGGUGAAAUUCGUAGAUAUUCGGAGGAACACCAGUGGCGAAGGCGGCUCACUGGCUCGGUACUGACGCUGAGGUGCGAAAGCGUGGGGAGCAAACAGG
rnacentral:rRNA from 1 species